UUGCAAAUCUACAAUAGUUGGAAUGUUGAGAUCUUUGAGGUGGUCAUGAGGUCCAAUGCCGCUUAACAAUAGGAGCUGGGGACUGCCUAAUGCCCCUGCUGACAAAAUAACAUCGCCCCAUGUGCUUGAAUUCCCUGGCUUAUUGAGGUAAGCUUCAUGCAUAUGAUUUGAGCUACCAUCGCUCUUGAUGAACCUUAUGCCAUGAGCUCUGCUCUCAUUUGCCUUGCCUGCAUCAUAUGAAGACUAUCAGUGAGAACUAAUCAAUUUGAUUACCAUAAUUAAUCAUUGAACACAAACAGUGAGUAAAGAUGGAGAAAAUCUGCUUACUAUUAUUUCUAAAGAUAAUGUUGUUUACAGUUGCAUUCAGGAGAACUACAAGAUUUUUGGGAUUCCCUGCCCCCAGGAGAUCAGCUGAUGUGUGUCUCUUUCCACAUUGGUCAAACGCUGUACCCCCAAUUUUUGUUCCUUCAAUGUGUUCCAAACUGUAACCAUUAUAAGGCAAAAUU
rnacentral:lncRNA from 1 species